GAUGAAGAACGUAGCGAAAUGCGAUACGUAAUGUGAAUUGCAAAUUCAGUGAAUCAUCGAGUCUUUGAACGCACAUUGCGCCCCCUGGUAUUCCGGGGGGCAUGCCUGUCCGAGCGUCAUUGCUGCCCUCAAGCAUGGCUUGUGUGUUGGGCCCCGUCCUCCGAUCCCGGGGGACGGGCCCGAAAGGCAGCGGCGGCACCGCGUCCGGUCCUCGAGCGUAUGGGGCUUUGUCACCCGCUCUGUAGGCCCGGCCGGCGCUUGCCGAUCAACCCAAAUUUUUAUCCAGGUUGACCUCGGAUCAGGUAGGGAUACCCGCUGAACUUAAGCAUAUCAAUAAGCGGAGGA
rnacentral:misc_RNA from 1 species